UACGUAGGGUGCAAGCGUUGUCCGGAAUUAUUGGGCGUAAAGAGCUCGUAGGCGGUCUGUCGCGUCGGAUGUGAAAAUCCAGGGCUCAACCCUGGACCUGCAUUCGAUACGGGCAGACUAGAGUUCGGUAGGGGAGACUGGAAUUCCUGGUGUAGCGGUGAAAUGCGCAGAUAUCAGGAGGAACACCGGUGGCGAAGGCGGGUCUCUGGGACGUUACUGACGCUGAGACGCGAAAGCGUGGGGAGCAAACAGG
rnacentral:rRNA from 1 species